rnacentral:rRNA from 1 species
AUUGAACGCUGGCGGCAGGCCUAACACAUGCAAGUCGAGCGAGCGGCGGACGGGUGAGUAAUGUCUGUGAAACUGCCUGAUGGAGGGGGAUAACUACUGGAAACGGUAGCUAAUACCGCAUACCAUCAGAUGUGCCCAGAUGGGAUUAGCUAGUAGGUGGGGUAACGGCUCACCUAGGCGACGAUCCCUAGCUGGUCUGAGAGGAUGACCAGCCACAAUGGAACUGAGACACGGUCCAGACUGCUACGGGAUGCAGCAGUGGGGAAUAGUGCACAAUGGGCGCAAGCCUGAUGCAGCCAUGCCGCGUGUGUGAAGAAGGCCUUCGGGUUGUAAAGCAAUUUCAGCGGGGAGGCGUUACAGGUAGAAGAAGCACCGGCUUACUCCGUGCCAGCAGACGCGGUAAUAC